GGAAAAAACAUGUGAACGAGCAGACAGCGAAAGCGAAUAAGAUUCUGGGAUAUGUUAGAAGGAACACUUUGUUUAUUCAAAAUACUGCAGCCAGACGAGCGUUAUACCUGGCAUUGGUUAGGUCGCACUUUGGCUACGCAACACAGGUUUGGUCACCACAGUCAGUGGAACUUAUAAGUAAACUCGAAAGAACACAAAGACGUGCUACUAAAUACAUCUUAAAUCUACCGUUUAGCACAGCUGUUGACUAUAAAUCGAGGUUACGGUCUUUAAAUCUUCUUCCAGUAAGCUAUUGGCACGAAUACUUGGACCUUAUCUUGUUUUUCAAAAUCACACAUGGUCUAGUAACACUAAAUCCCCAAGUGUCGCCAGCUAUCUUCGCCACUCGUAGAACAACCCGAUCAACCUCAUCAAACAAACUGAAAUAUGUCAUCCCUAAAUGCAGAACUACCACCUACCAAAAAUCUUUCCUCGUAAGAGCGUGCCGAGUUUGGAACUAUCUUGCAGAUGAACUGAACUUUACUAAGGAUACUAGCAUUUCUGUAUUUAAAUCAGAUCUGCUCAAGUAUUACUUUACAUCACUGAACAUUAAUUAUGAUCCUGAAAACUCUCGAUCAUUUAAGAGUAUAUGUCUGAAAUGUAAUUGUAUUCGAAGCCUGUUACGUCCAAUAUCGUGUUGCAGUUGAACUGUAAAUAAGAUCACACCUGUAACGCAUGUAUGUAUAUAUAUAUGUGUAAUGAUAGUUUUGUGUCGGGCCCGCAGUAAUUGGCUAUUCGCUGUUGCGGUCACCCAGCCGUGGUCAUGUACCUACUGUAUUUCAUUAUGUACGUUUGUUUUUGUCCUGUCAUGUAAUGUACUGUUUCAUCGGCAAAGUUUAUAAAUUAAAUUAAAUUAAAUUAUAUGCGAUAACACAUCUUUGAUUUGCAAUCACUACAAACAGUAUUUUAAAACGUUCACGGCGUGUGCUUCUUAAAGGCAGCAUUUACUACAUUUUAGGUAAUCUAGUCAUGUAUAGAAAACUUGC